CAGUCGAACGGACUCAUAUUGAAACCUAGUGAUUUAUGAGUUAGUGGCGGACGGGUGAGUAACGCGUGGAUAACCUACCGUAUACCGGGGGAUAACACUUAGAAAUAGGUGCUAAUACCGCAUAAGCGCACGGCUCCGCAUGGGGCAGUGUGAAAAACUCCGGUGGUAUACGAUGGAUCCGCGUCUGAUUAGCUAGUUGGCGGGGUAACGGCCCACCAAGGCAGCGAUCAGUAGCCGGCCUGAGAGGGUGGACGGCCACAUUGGGACUGAGACACGGCCCAAACUCCUACGGGAGGCAGCAGUGGGGAAUAUUGCACAAUGGGGGAAACCCUGAUGCAGCGACGCCGCGUGAGUGAAGAAGUAUCUCGGUACGUAAAGCUCUAUCAGCAGGGAAGAAAAUGACGGUACCUGACUAAGAAGCCCCGGCUAACUACGUGCCAGCAGCCGCGGUAAUACGUAGGGGGCAAGCGUUAUCCGGAUUUACUGGGUGUAAAGGGAGCGUAGACGGCAGCACAAGUCUGGAGUGAAAUCCCGGGGCUUAACCCCGGAACUGCUUUGGAAACUGUGCGGCUGGAGUGCAGGAGGGGUAAGCGGAAUUCCUAGUGUAGCGGUGAAAUGCGUAGAUAUUAGGAGGAACACCGGUGGCGAAGGCGGCUUACUGGACUGUAACUGACGUUGAGGCUCGAAAGCGUGGGGAGCAAACAGGAUUAGAUACCCUGGUAGUCCACGCCGUAAACGAUGAUUACUAGGUGUCGGGGGACCAAGGUUCUCCGGUGCCGGCGCAAACGCAUUAAGUAAUCCACCUGGGGAGUACGUUCGCA
rnacentral:rRNA from 1 species